GACGAACGCUGGCGGCGUGCUUAACACAUGCAAGUCGAACGGAAAGGCCCUGCUUUUGUGGGGUGCUCGAGUGGCGAACGGGUGAGUAACACGUGAGUAACCUGCCCUUGACUUUGGGAUAACUUCAGGAAACUGGGGCUAAUACCGGAUAGGAGCUCCUGCUGCAUGGUGGGGGUUGGAAAGUUUCGGCGGUUGGGGAUGGACUCGCGGCUUAUCAGCUUGUUGGUGGGGUAGUGGUUUACCAAGGCUUUGACGGGUAGCCGGCCUGAGAGGGUGACCGGCGACAUUGGGACUGAGAUACGGCCCAGACGCCUACAGGAGGCAGCAGUGGGGAAUAUUGCACAGUGGGCGGAAGCCUGAUGCGGCAGCGCCGCGUGCGUGAUGACGGCCUUCGGGUUGUGAACCGCUUUCGCCUGUGACGAAGCGUGAGUGACGGUAAUGGGUAAAGAAGCACCGGCUAACUACGUG
rnacentral:rRNA from 1 species